UUUACCGUGCGGUGGUUAUUUAUCCGUGGUCUUUGCCUGGCCGGGAGCCUUGUGCAUUCGCGAGAACCGCCUCUGCGCAUGGAUACGUGGUCUCGUUCUGUAAUACUGUCUAUAAGCAAUGUGGUAACGACUUGCCCGAUCAUGAACACCGUGUGUUAUGCUAUUUGUGGAUGUAUGCCGUACGUGUAUGUCUGGGUGUCUACCAACCUGGGAAAGUCGAGGAAUUGGGGCCUUGCUGGAAAACUGGAGGAACUUUGGUAAAACCUGGCUAAUUCAUGGAAACUGGUGGCAGUCUGUGCCACCAUCACAAAAAUAAGCAUUACCCUUGAUCAAUACUCAAAAAGUCACUCCUUCAACUGCAACUACAGUGAACAGCUAGAAGAGGCCUAAAAAAAGGCAAUGCAUAACUGUUUCUUCUUAGUGUACAAACAAAAGGAUACACCGACCAAAAUAACACAAAGUUUACUGAUGUUUGGGCACCUGAUAUUGUUCUGAAUGACAGCCAUAAGAAAGGUACAUCGUAUUUAAGAAUGACUAGGUGCAUGAUGUAAGCACCAAAAGUAUACGGUCAGCGUUCCAUAAAUCUUAUUGAGGAUAAGUGCAGCUGUGUGAAUGUGCAGGGAUUCCAGGUGCUGGCAUGAUGCAAGCUUGUUUUCUUCGACCAGAACACGGUUGCUUGACCAGUCAAUUUGAAAGCCUGUAUAUUCCACAUGUUCAGCGAGGGCAUUCAAGGCCACCCAUGAUUUGGUGACUUCAUUUUGAACUGUUGUGUUGUUUAACUCUUUCAUUGAAAUCACAGGUCUCACAGACUGACAUGUUGUCACACUCGUGGCAGGCUACAGUGUAAAGAAGACUACAGAAAGUUCGGCUCGGCAGCUUAUUCUUCUCAUUGACUAAAGCAUUCCUUAGCUUCCAUGUUGGUACAUGCACUAUUUUGAUGUAUGUUCCUUCUACAUAUCACAUACCAUAUCUGACUUUCCAAGCACAGCAUUUCUCACAUCGGUAAAUUUGUGCAUAUUUGUCGUGGCCACAAAUUCGGCUUGGCUUGAAGGCCUUUUAGUUUGGUGCUUAUGUUAGAACUGCCAUCACAAGAGGUUUGCUGGGCUAUGUCUUGCCUUGUAUAAUAUUACUGCUAUUAUUAUUAUUAUUGGCGAUGCAGCUGCAAACGUCCUCCGCUAUGCACUUAUUGCUGAUAUUUCAAGAGUAGCACACUCUCUUCUCAUUUCAUUUCCUUGAGAUGGUGAUAUUAAAUCCAUGAGUAUUUUUUACCAUUAUGUUCAUAGAAGAGUACGUAAAUGAAGGUAACCAAAACACGCAACUUAUCUUCACAAAAAAAGCCUAAUGGCUUUUUCAGCUUGUCUUUGUUGUACAUAGCCUGGUCACUCCUCACCACGGUGUUCAUGCUGUCUGAGACGCAUCUGGAAGAUAAGUUGCAUGUGUUGGUUGCUGACAAGGAAGGCUUCUUUUCAACUCUAGAUGGCUCUAUGUAUAAUGAUAAGGUAGUCACUGGUUUGGAAAAAAGCUGAAUAAAUCAUUUUCUGAGCAACU
rnacentral:lncRNA from 1 species